rnacentral:rRNA from 1 species
UGGGGAAUUUUGCACAAUGGGCGCAAGCCUGAUGCAGCGACGCCGCGUGAGGGAUGAAGGCCUUCGGGUUGUAAACCUUUUUCGCUCAUGGUCAAGCCGCAGCUUUGGGUUGUGGUGACGGUAUGUGCAGAAGAAGCGCCGGCUAACUACGUGCCAGCAGCCGCGGUAAUACGUAGGGCGCGAGCGUUGUCCGGAAUUAUUGGGCGUAAAGAGCUCGUAGGCGGUUUGUCGCGUCUGCUGUGAAAGACCGGGGCUUAACUCCGGGGCUGCAGUGGGUACGGGCAGGCUGGAGUGCGGUAGGGGUAACCGGAAUUCCUGGUGUAGCGGUGGAAUGCGCAGAUAUCAGGAGGAACACCGAUGGCGAAGGCAGGUUACUGGGCCGUUACUGACGCUGAGGAGCGAAAGCAUGGGGAGCGAACAGG